GAAUUAGCUCAGUUGGCUAGAGCGUCCCGACAGGCGUCGGGAAGGUCAUCGGUUCGAAUCCUAGAGUAAACA
rnacentral:tRNA from 1 species